GGGGCGCUAGCUCAGUUGGUAGAGCACUGCCCUUUUAAGGCAGGUGUCCCGGGUUCGAAUCCCGGGCGCCUCA
rnacentral:tRNA from 1 species